ACCCGUUUUGGAGGCAAAGAGGUUGAGCCAUGCACAUAGAUGAUGCUUCUCUGAAGAGACAGGGAUCCAGGAGUAGGAGUUCAGAGACUGGAGAUGGAAGCUCUUCAAACAUUCGGAAGGUACUUUUUUGGUUUUUUUUUGGCAAGAAUGAGACAAAGUUAUCCUGUAUGUAGCCUUUAAGCCAGGACCUUAGGAUUUUUUUUCCCCUAAGAAAACAAUCAGAGAGUGGUGUGAGGAUGUAUAUGCAUUCUUAUGAGUGUUUUUUUCAGAAGCAUAUGAAAAGUGAGAAGAUGUUUCCCUUAUAAAUAGCAUCAUGUUGAAAAAUCCAACUCGGGAGGGCGAGCAAAUCAAUUCUGGUGUAUUUAUAAAACGAAGAAUUCAGUGGCUACAGAGAAGCAGUGUGGCAGGUCUGGACUUUUUUGGCUCUAUAGGAAAAAAGUUCAUGAUAUACUAUUAAUGUAAAAAGAACAGAUUUUUAAAGUCCAUCUUAAAAUGUACACAUGAAUUUUCUUGCCUAAGCAGCCAGAAAACUGAAGUUGGAAAAAAAAAUAGCCUAAUCUAAGAUGCUAGCAGAGCUACAUCACCAAUAGGGUAACUCCAAUUUCUUUGUUUUCUUCUGCUAUCUGAGUUAGUAUUGUAAGUUCACUUUCCUUCGAUAAGAGUAGAUUCAUAAAAAGAGCCGCAGUCCUGAAGUUUUCAAAGUAGAAACGCUGAGAAAAACAAUCCUUAUGAUUUAUUUGGGAUGGGCAAGCUGUGCUUGCCAAAAUCCUGUCCCUUGGGGACUGAGACGGGAGGGUCAGAGUUCAAGGCCAAUUUAGGCUAUGCAGGAUUCUGUCUCAAAAAAUCC
rnacentral:lncRNA from 1 species